rnacentral:rRNA from 1 species
GGGGAAUAUUGGACAAUGGGGGAAACCCUGAUCCAGCCAUGCCGCGUGUGUGAAGAAGGCCUUUUGGUUGUAAAGCACUUUAAGCAGUGAAGAAGACUCCUCGGUUAAUACCCGUGGACGAUGACAUUAGCUGCAGAAUAAGCACCGGCUAACUCUGUGCCAGCAGCCGCGGUAAUACAGAGGGUGCAAGCGUUAAUCGGAAUUACUGGGCGUAAAGCGAGCGUAGGUGGCUUGAUAAGUCAGAUGUGAAAUCCCCGGGCUUAACCUGGGAACUGCAUCUGAAACUGUUAGGCUAGAGUAGGUGAGAGGAAGGUAGAAUUCCAGGUGUAGCGGUGAAAUGCGUAGAGAUCUGGAGGAAUACCGAUGGCGAAGGCAGCCUUCUGGCAUCAUACUGACACUGAGGCUCGAAAGCGUGGGUAGCAAAC